rnacentral:pre_miRNA from 1 species
AAUCUUCUGUAUCUGUGCUAAGAUUUCGUUGCACACCAGACCACAAGGGCUGAUGAGACUCCCAAGGUAAAUAAAGCG